rnacentral:rRNA from 1 species
UCGGGAAUUUUGGGCAAUGGGCGAAAGCCUGACCCAGCAACGCCGCGUGAGGGAUGAAGUAUUUCGGUAUGUAAACCUCGAAAGAAUGGGAAGAAUAAAUGACGGUACCAUUUAUAAGCUCCGGCUAACUACGUGCCAGCAGCCGCGGUAAUACGUAGGGAGCAAGCGUUGUUCGGAUUUACUGGGCGUAAAGGGCGCGUAGGCGGCGCGGUAAGUCACUUGUGAAAUCUCUGAGCUUAACUCAGAACGGCCAAGUGAUACUGCUGUGCUAGAGUGCGGAAGAGGCAACCGGAAUUCUUGGUGUAGCGGUGAAAUGCGUAGAUAUCAAGAGGAGCACCUGAGGCGAAGGCGGGUUGCUGGGCCGACACUGACGCUGAUGCGCGAAAGCCAGGGGAGCAAACG